AGUGAACGCUGGCGGCGUGCCUAAUACAUGCAAGUCGAACGAGUGGCGCACGGGUGAGUAAUGUAUAGCUAAUCUGCCCUCCACUAGAGGCCAACAGUUGGAAACGGCUGCUCAUACUCUAUAGUGUAGGAUGAGGCUAUAUUGUAUCAGCUAGUUGGUGAGGUAUUGGCUACCCAAGGGUAUGACGCAUAACUGGUCUGAGGGGACGAUCAGUCACACGGGAACUGAGACACGGUCCAGACUCCUACGGGAGGCAUCAGUAGGGAAGAUUGCUCAAUGGGGGAAACCCUGAAGCAGCAACGCCGCGUGGAGGAUGACACUUGUCGGAGCGUAAACUCCUUUUGUUAGGGAAGCGGUACCUAACGAAUAAGCACCGGCUAACUCCGUGCCAGCCGCCGCGGUAAUAC
rnacentral:rRNA from 1 species